CACGUAGGCGGCCUUGUAAGUCAGGGGUGAAAUCCCACGGCUCAACCGUGGAACUGCCCUUGAAACUGCGGGGCUUGAAUCCUGGAGAGGGUGGCGGAAUUCCUGGUGUAGGAGUGAAAUCCGUAGAUAUCAGGAGGAACACCGGUGGCGAAGGCGGCCACCUGGACAGGCAUUGACGCUGAGGUGCGAAAGUGUGGGGAGCAAACA
rnacentral:rRNA from 1 species